rnacentral:snRNA from 1 species
GGGUGUGAGGCCGAUCUGGCUGUGACAUCUUUCACCCCAUUAUUGGCCAGGGUUGAUUUGGUUCAUCUGGCUGGUAGGCAGGUGUCACCUUCCUCCCUCACUGCUCCAGGCGCAUCCAUCCCAAAGCUACACAGUUGGUCAAAUAGGGCGACCUUCCCGGAAUAGAGACGGGUGGGUCUUCAGUCAAGGCCAUAGAGUUUUGGGUGGAGGAUAUACAAGGUGCAGCACUUCCCUGCUAGAACCUCCAAACAACCUCUCACAUGAAAGAUGAGGGCCUCUGGCCUCACCGUUACACACACACACACUCACAUGCACGCGUGCCUGGCACU